AGUGGAAGCGUCUGGAAAGGCGCGCGAUACAGGGUGACAGCCCCGUACACAAAAAUGCACAUAUUGUGAGCUCGAUGAGUAGGGCGGGACACGUGGUAUCCUGUCUGAAUAUGGGGGGCCCAUCCUCCAAGGCUAAAUACUCCUGACUGACCGAUAGUGAACCAGUACCGUGAGGGAAAGGCGAAAAGAACCCCGGCGAGGGGAGUGAAAAAGAACCUGAAACCGUGUACGUACAAGCAGUGGGAGCACGCUUAGGCGUGUGACUGCGUACCUUUUGUAUAAUGGGUCAGCGACUUAUAUUCUGUAGCAAGGUUAACCGAAUAGGGGAGCCGAAGGGAAACCGAGUCUUAACUGGGCGUUAAGUUGCAGGGUAUAGACCCGAAACCCGGUGAUCUAGCCAUGGGCAGGUUGAAGGUUGGGUAACACUAACUGGAGGACCGAACCGACUAAUGUUGAAAAAUUAGCGGAUGACUUGUGGCUGGGGGUGAAAGGCCAAUCAAACCGGGAGAUAGCUGGUUCUCCCCGAAAGCUAUUUAGGUAGCGCCUCGUGAAUUCAUCUCCGGGGGUAGAGCACUGUUUCGGCAAGGGGGUCAUCCCGACUUACCGACCCGAUGCAAACUGCGAAUAUCGGAGAAUGUUAUCACGGGAGACACACGGCGGGUGCUAACGUCCGUCGUGAAGAGGGAAACAACCCAGACCGCCAGCUAAGGUCCCAAAGUCAUGGUUAAGUG
rnacentral:rRNA from 1 species